AGCAUAGCUAGACGUGCAUUGCAUACAUAGUAAUUAGCACGUCAUUAUUUCGCUCAUAUUCUAUUGUUAUACGCGACUGGUUAAUAUAGGGUAAGGCAGUGGCAUAGAACAGGAAGCGCUAGAAGAUUCUUAUUUCGGAGCUCACUUUUUGCUUCGCAGAGUCAGCGGAUUGAGUCAAAUUGCGUGGGAGUUGUAAAACAAUAGACGCAAUACGCAACGUUGCAUUCGAUUAGUCAAAUUUAAUGAAGCGACGCAUCACAUCACGUGUCAACGUGUUUGCUGGACGCUGUUGACCAAUCACAAUCAAUCGAAACGUAGAAUCGAUUUAUGAAAGAACCCUUUAACAAUCUGGUGUCAGACAAAGUGGUUACGAAAACACGAAGAUUUGGUAACCGAUUUUUCAUAUCCUUCAAAAGCUGUGUUGCCCAAGUGGUUUCAACGUGCAACUCUCAUCUCUGAGAUCGUAGGUCCGUUCUCGGGUAUCACGUGGCCGUCACUAAGAAGAUGGACUGAUCCGGUGGUCGUUCUCAAAACUGUACACUUUAAUAAGAGAGGCGCUGGACGGAAAUCCAUGGAGACAGAUUGUCCGCUCCA